GGACGGGCGACCGAGUGGAGCGUCUGGACCCGCAGCUGCUGCGCUUCAUGAUACGGCAGGGAGUCGCUGUGGAGGUGCAGGACACGGGCCACGCGUGCUCCACAUUCAACUUCCUCGUCAACGAUCGCCGCCUGGUGGCUGCAGGACUCAUCCCGCCCACGAAGUUGGAGUGACCGCGGUCGACGUGCGGCAAGGGGGAGGCCAUGGGGAACCGCGGUGGCUAGGAGAUGUUAACUCCCUCGCCUGAUAUGCAGGCGGUCGUGGGUUCCAUCUGGGGGACCCUGCUGACGCCUGUUGUGUAUUUGGAGUUUGUGUGGAUCUCUCUCCCCGUGGCCACGUAGAUUUUCCUCCCGGUUCUCCGUUUUUUCCCCCCUUACGUGUUAAUUUUUUUUUAUAUAGAACGCUGCAUCACGCUGUUGGUCUGCGCCAGGUUAAGUUUAAUUCGGGGGGGGGGCAGGGCUAUUUAUAGUGUAUGGGGGCCCCCUCUUUGUAUUUUAAGUUAAUUCCCUUGACUGUUUUACCAACAUCCAUGCCCCGGUGCCACACAGUUAUUGCAGUUCCGGUUUUUAAACAUGUACAAAUUGUUAAGCUAAAUAUAUCAAAGGUAAAAGGAACAAAACUAUUUUAAGUUUGGCAAAUAACUUGGAGUAAUACAUAGCAAUACUUUGGCUCAAAUAACAAAAUUACACAACAAUCAUUAUAGGUCCGUAUAAUUUUUUGGGGUCUCUCAAAAGCGGAGGGCCCUGGUAGCAACCUCGAACGGCCAGGACUGCGAUAAUCCGGCCCUGGCUGUGGUAUCCAACCUGGGCUUCAUUGUAAAGGAAACGAUCCUUCUGUGGAAUGCGGGAUAAUACAACUGUCGUUUAUUCGGAUAAAAAAACACGGAUACCUUGCCAACACACGUGUGAGUUAGGCUAUGAGGAGGUAUUCGUUGGUUACCUCUAUAAUGGGGGGGGGGGGGGGCGCGAAGACAAUGCAUCGUCUCAAUUUAUUGCUUCUCAAAGUCAAUCGAUUCACUUGCCAACGUGUUUUCUGUCAUGUGGGCACCGAGUCGCUGACCCCCGACGAGUGUGGAGCGGCUGAUAGUUCAACCGGCGUGCGCGCAAAAGAAAUAUCUUUCACAAACACGGUUCAUUCACAACCCGGAUAGUCUGCCCGCGGGGUGAUCGACAGUUGACCGUGCGUGCUACAAGCAUGCGUGCGGGACGUCGCGUUUAUGAAAAUGUGCGGCGUUGGGAGCGCGCUGCGUGCGUGUCGAUUUGAGCCGUCGAAAUGCCGCGCGGUAGCGUGUGCCGAAUGUUUACGACCCGAAAAAAAGCGACAACUGUGAACGGUGCAUGAGUCUCGGGGAAUUUUGCGGUCUAUGGAUGGAACAAGUCAAAGGAGAUCUUCUCUGGACGAUGUUUUACUUUGAAACGAGGAGGAAAUGGAGGUGAUUAAAAUAUCUCACGCCA